AUUCCCAACUCGUUUUCUCCCUCUUUUCUAUGUACCACUAAAUAUCUACCACCACCACCAAAUCAAUCUUUAGUCCAACCAGAACUUUUCAAAUGUAAAUUCAAGAGAGCGGGGACAAUGGAUGGACAGGUGGUUAUGGAUACAUCACCAGAGGUAAUGGAGACUUCUUCAGUGGUAGUGGAGGCGACUUCACGGGUGGUGGCGAAAAUAUUGAAAGUGGUGUUAAGCUUACAGGUGGUGGCGGUGGUUGUGAGUGAUUGGAGGUGGAGAUGCGCUCUCGGGGGGUGGAGGAGAGAAAAUUGAUUUUGUUGUUGGAUUUGGUGAUGA
rnacentral:lncRNA from 1 species